GCUAACUCCGUGCCAGCAGCCGCGGUAAUACGGAGGGGGCAAGCGUUGUUCGGAUUUACUGGGCGUAAAGGGCGCGUAGGCGGAUGUUCGCGUCAGAGGUGAAAGCCCCGGGCUCAACCUGGGAACUGCCUUUGAAACGGGACAUCUUGAGUUCGGAAGAGGGUAGCGGAAUUCCCAGUGUAGAGGUGAAAUUCGUAGAUAUUGGGAAGAACACCAGUAGCGAAGGCGGCUACCUGGUCCGACACUGACGCUGAGGCGCGAAAGCGUGGGGAGCAAACAGGAUUAGAUACCCGAGUAGUC
rnacentral:rRNA from 1 species